AUUGAACGCUGGCGGCAGGCCUAACACAUGCAAGUCGAGCGGAUGAAGGGAGCUUGCUCCUGGAUUCAGCGGCGGACGGGUGAGUAAUGCCUAGGAAUCUGCCUGGUAGUGGGGGAUAACGUCCGGAAACGGGCGCUAAUACCGCAUACGUCCUGAGGGAGAAAGUGGGGGAUCUUCGGACCUCACGCUAUCAGAUGAGCCUAGGUCGGAUUAGCUAGUUGGUGGGGUAAAGGCCUACCAAGGCGACGAUCCGUAACUGGUCUGAGAGGAUGAUCAGUCACACUGGAACUGAGAGACGGUCCAGACUCCUACGGGAGGCAGCAGUGGGGAAUAUUGGACAAUGGGCGAAAGCCUGAUCCAGCCAUGCCGCGUGUGGGAAGAAGGUCUUCGGAUUGUAAAGCACUUUAAGUUGGGAGGAAGGGCAGUAAGUUAAUACCUUGCUGUUUUGACGUUACCAACAGAAUAAGCACCGGCUAACUUCGUG
rnacentral:rRNA from 1 species